rnacentral:rRNA from 1 species
UACGUAGGGUGCGAGCGUUAAUCGGAAUUACUGGGCGUAAAGCGUGCGCAGGCGGUUCGUUGUGUCGGCGGGGAAAGCCCCGGGCUCAACCUGGGAAUGGCCGUUGAAACUGGCGAACUGGAGUGUGGCAGAGGGGGGUGGAAUUCCGCGUGUAGCAGUGAAAUGCGUAGAGAUGUGGAGGAAUACCGAUGGCGAAGGCAGCCCCCUGGGCCAAUACUGACGCUCAUGCACGAAAGCGUGGGGAGCAAACAGG